GACGGAAGGUGCAAGCGUUGCUCGGAAUCACUGGGCGUAAAGGGUGCGUAGACGGCCGUGCAAGUCUGGCGUGAAAGCCCCGGGCUCAGCCCGGGAAGUGCGCUCGAAACUGCGCGGCUCGAGUGCCGGAGGGGAGAGUGGAAUUCCUGGUGUAGCGGUGAAAUGCGUAGAUAUCAGGAGGAAUACCGGUGGCGAAAGCGACUCUCUGGACGGCAACUGACGCUGAGGCACGAAGGCCAGGGGAGCAAACGGG
rnacentral:rRNA from 1 species